UACGUAGGGGCAAGCGUUAUCCGGAUUUACUGGGUGUAAAGGGAGCGCAGACGGCAGUGCAAGUCUGAUGUGAAAGCCCGGGGCUCAACCCCGGAACUGCAUUGGAAACUGUACAGCUUGAGUGUCGGAGAGGUAAGCGGAAUUCCUAGUGUAGCGGUGAAAUGCGUAGAUAUUAGGAGGAACACCGGUGGCGAAGGCGGCUUACUGGACGAUGACUGACGUUGAGGCUCGAAAGCGUGGGGAGCAAACAGGAUUAGAUACCCCUGUAGU
rnacentral:rRNA from 1 species